GAUGAACGCUAGCUACAGGCUUAACACAUGCAAGUCGCGGGGCAGCAUGGGGGUUGCUUGCAAUCCCCGAUGGCGACCGGCGCACGGGUGAGUAACGCGUAUCCAACCUGCCCUUCACCACGGGAUAACCCGGCGAAAGUCGGACUAAUACCGUAUGUUGUCCAUUGACGGCAUCCGAUUUGGACGAAAGGUUUGGCGGUGAAGGAUGGGGAUGCGUCCGAUUAGCUGGACGGCGGGGUGACGGCCCACCGUGGCGACGAUCGGUAGGGGUUCUGAGAGGAAGGUCCCCCACACUGGAACUGAGACACGGUCCAGACUCCUACGGGAGGCAGCAGUGAGGAAUAUUGGUCAAUGGGCGUAAGCCUGAACCAGCCAAGUAGCGUGCAGGAUGACGGCCCUAUGGGUUGUAAACUGCUUUUAUGCGGGGAUAAAGUGGCCCACGUGUGGGUUUUUGCAGGUACCGCAUGAAUAAGGGCCGGCUAAUUCCGUG
rnacentral:rRNA from 1 species